UGAGUUAUUAGAAGCUUGUAAACAAGAGUUCCAUCGCCGUCUUAAGGUUUAUCAUCAGUGGCAAAAUAAAAAUAAGGCAUCGAAGUCGACGGGUCAAAGUGCUGGUGAUCAAAGAGCACCUCAAGAGGUCGUGGAAAAAGGAAAUCCAGCAUUGAAGAAAUCAAAGGAAAAUAUUUUAUAUCUUCAGUUUAUGAUAUAAUUGCGGUAGAAGAUUAUGAAGAUGUUAAGACAAGAUCUUUAAUGUAAUGUUAUUCAGUUGAGUCAAAAGAAAGUUUUGAAAGUCUUUCCACUGUAUGGUGGCCAGAGAUCAGUGCUGCUCGCAUAAGGAAACCAUUUUAAUUUGUUGGACUAAAAAAGGAGCUUCGUCCUGGCAAACAAACGCAUGAACUGAGUAGGUGAAAGCUAAUGAAGGUAAAAAACUUGCAAAAUAUAUUGGUGCAGGUUUUUAAGAGUGCUCAUCAGUUACUAAUGAAGGAAACAAUGAGAUUUUUGA